GCCACACCGGUGGUACCGGCGAGUGCUCCUCCGGCCACGCCAGCCCCAGUCCCGGCGGCGGCCCCAGCCUCGGCCCCAGCCUCGGUUCCAGCGCCAACGCCAGCACCGGCUGCGGCUCCGGUUCCCGCUGCGGCUCCAGCCUCAUCUUCAGACCCUGCGACAGCAGCGGCUACAACUGCGGCUCCUGGUCAGACCCCGGCCUCAGCGCAAGCUCCAGCGCAGACCCCAGCGCCCGCUCUGCCUGGUCCUGCUCUUCCAGGGCCCUUCCCCGGCGGCCGCGUGGUCAGGCUGCACCCAGUCAUUUUGGCCUCCAUUGUGGACAGCUACGAGAGACGCAACGAGGGUGCUGCCCGAGUUAUCGGGACCCUGUUGGGAACUGUCGACAAACACUCAGUGGAGGUCACCAAUUGCUUUUCAGUGCCGCACAAUGAGUCAGAAGAUGAAGUGAGUGGGAAUCCAAGCUGUCCCUCUGCAGUUUUUAGCUGUUCAUUUGCUAGGCUCCCCUCACAGCCCCUCCCACACUCAUAACUAGAGCUCCUGUAGCCAAGGAGCUUCUUCCCAUUUGUGGCUGUUGACAUGGAAUUUGCUAAGAAUAUGUAUGAACUGCAUAAAAAAGUUUCUCCAAAUGAGCUCAUCCUGGGCUGGUACGCUACAGGCCAUGACAUCACAGAGCACUCUGUGCUGAUCCAUGAGUACUACAGCCGAGAGGCCCCCAACCCCAUCCACCUCACUGUGGACACAAGUCUCCAGA
rnacentral:sRNA from 1 species